GACGAACGCUGGCGGCGUGCUUAACACAUGCAAGUCGAACGGAAAGGCCCUGCUUGCAGGGUGCUCGAGUGGCGAACGGGUGAGUAACACGUGGGUGAUCUGCCCCUUACUUUGGGAUAAGCCUGGGAAACUGGGUCUAAUACUGGAUAGGACCAUGCUGUAGGUGGUGUGGUGGAAAGAUUAGUUUCGGUAAGGGAUGAGCUCGCGGCCUAUCAGCUUGUUGGUGGGGUAAUGGCCUACCAAGGCGUCGACGGGUAGCCGGCCUGAGAGGGUGGACGGCCACAUUGGGACUGAGAUACGGCCCAGCCUCCUACGGGAGGCAGCAGUGGGGAAUAUUGCACAAUGGGCGCAAGCCUGAUGCAGCGACGCCGCGUGGGGGAUGACGGCCUUCGGGUUGUAAACUCCUUUCAGCCAUGACGAAGCCCUUGUGGUGACGGUAGUGGUAGAAGAAGCACCGGCUAACUACGUG
rnacentral:rRNA from 1 species